GAAGUCCGCAUGUGACUUCAUCAUGAGGAGCCGGAAGUGAUGGCAUCUCAGGUGCAGUGCUGGUCAGUUUGCAUAAAGCCGCCCUCCUUAGUGACGCACGUCUCAGUUCAGCACUCUGACUGCAUUUAUAAUUUCCUGAAGGAAACCCACUCAGAAUCUACAGCAACCAUGACUGUACUGGUUCUGCUUACUGUCUUCAUUGUUUUCAUUCAAGAUUCAGUAUGUCAGAUUUCUGUAAAUCAACCAUCAGCACCAAAGUCAGUUCCCCCUGGAGGGAGUGUCACCUUCAGCUGUACCACUGGGAGUAGCGUGGGUAGCUGGAUGGCCUGGUACCAGCAGAGAGAUGGACAAACUCCUAAACUCCUGAUCUACAAAGCAAGCAAUCUCUACGGUGACACCCCGAGUCGCUUCAGUGGCACUGGGUCAGGAACUUCAUUCAGUUUGACCAUCAAUGGAGUUCAGCCUGAAGAUGCGGGUCAUUACUACUGUCAGCAGGGCAGCAACUUACCACACAGUGAUUGAGACUCGUACAAAAACCUCACUGAGCUGUUUUCAUAACUGCAGGUGUGAAACUCAAACACUGAGAUGAGACUUAAUGCAGAAACCAAUGAAAUGAAACAAGUGAAUCUGAGUUGACAGGAAAACCAAAGAGAAGCAACCUUAAU